GCCUUGUGGUUGCCGGGCUCCUCUGCCUGUGUGGAGACUUACGGUUUAUUUUAACAAUGGCACAGAGUAACAUUCUGGGGCAUAAGCGUGGCGUUUGUUGCAACGGUACAGACUUCACAGCCCGGUCCCAGAUACACAC